CCGAGCACGACCUAAUGCUACCUGAGCUAACUCGCUAGCUAAAACCGCUAACAGCAUCGACGAACUUGAUGACGUUACGGUGUUGACUUUAAAAGAUCAGCACCAGAUCCUCAGACCAUGGUGUGUUGGCUGUACUAUGUUGGGGGAAAAAAGGCGGGGGACCGGGCCUUUUCUGUUGCAGCCCCUCAGCUCUGGAACACCCUGCCAGAAGGCCGACUCUGUUGAGACUCUUAUGAAGCACCCUAAGACCCAUAUUUAAUCCUUGUCUUUCAAUAGCAUUUGAUCUGUUUUUAUUUUUUCAUCUGGUCACUCUUGGUGUUAAUAGCUUUUCGUUUCUUGAUACAUUGAUGUUGAUCUGUAUUUCACAUGUUUUACAUGACAUGCUGAAUGUGAAGCACUUUGGUGCAAAUGCUCUUUGCUCUUAAGGUGCUAUAUGAAUGAAAUAAACUUAAACAAGUACUGUAUAUUCAUGCUUGUAUAUUACCUGA